rnacentral:rRNA from 1 species
CACGAAGCAAGUCGAGCUAAUUAGGUGUAAAUAUUAGUUUAUUAAAUGUAGCAUAAUUUAAAUAAACAAAUAAUUAGGGGUGAUAGGCUUUUCAAGUCUUGCGAUAACUUGAUGUUUAUUAAAAGUAUUUAGUACUAUAACAACUAAGAAGCGAUUAGGUUUUUUAGUAGUAUGAAGAAUUAUGGUUUUUAAAAUUAUGUUGUAAUUAUCAGAUUGUUUUAAAAUAUAACAUAAAUUUAUUUAAUUUAUAGUAAAUAAUAAACUAUUUAAUAAUAAUAAAAUAAUAGAUAAUGUUAUUAUAAGUAAUUAUUCAAGUGCUAAGGAUGAACUUGGCAAUAUUUUUCCAGACUGUUUAUCAAAAACAUAGCCAGUAGAAAUAGCUUAUUGGUAGUUUCUGCUCAAUGAAUUUUAAAUAGCCGCAGUACCCUGACUGUGCUAAGGUAGCAUAAUCAUUUGGCUCAUAAUUGGAGUCUAGUAUGAAAGAAAGAACGUGGGAGGAACUAUAUUUAUGGUAUAUAAUAAAAUUACUUAAUAAGUGAAAAUACUUAUAGAAAAAUAAUAGACGAGAAGACCCUAGAAAUUUUAAGAAAAUUUAGAGAAAAUGUUUUUGUUGGGGCAACAUUGUAACAGUUAACUUACAUACAAUCAAGCAAUUUUUUUGAAAGAAAAAAUUACUCUAGGGAUAACAGCGUAAUGUUAGAACGUUUGCGACCUCGAUGUUGGAUUAGGAAUUAAAAGCUAGA